rnacentral:rRNA from 1 species
GGGUACUCUCGGGGUAGGGGUGAAAUCCAAUAAUCCUGAGGGGACCACCUGUGGCGAAAGCGCUUGGCUAAGACGGGUCCGACGGUGAGGAACUAAAGCUAGGGGAGCAAAGCGGAUUAGAUACCCGUGUAGUCCUAGCCGUAAAUAAUGCAGACCAGGUGUUGCGUUCCCUUCGCGGGGAUGCAGUGCCGAAGGGAAGCCGUUAAGUCUGCCAGCUGGGAAGUACGGUCGCAAGGCUGAAACUUAAAGGAAUUGACGGGGGAGCACCACAAGGGGUGGAGUCUGCGGUUUAAUUAGAUCCAACGCUGGAAAUCUCACCGGGGGCGACAGCUGUAUGAAGGUCAGGUUGACGAUCUUACCCGACUCGCUGAGAGGAGGUGCAUGGCCGUCGUCAGUUCGUGCCGUGAGGUGUUCUGUUAAGUCAGACAACGAACGAGACCCACGUCAUCAGUUGCUAAUUCCUUCUCCGGAAGGAAAGUACUCUGAUGGGACCGCUGUUCGUAAAACAGAGGAAGGAGUGGGCAACGGUAGGUCAGUAUGCCCCGAAUCCCCCGGGCUACACGCGGACUACAAUGACUGGAACAAUGGGCUGCGACUCCGUGAGGAGAAGCUAAUCCCUAAAUCCAGCCUAAGUUCGGAUCGAGCGCUGAAACUCGCGCUCGUGAAGCCGGAAUCCGUAGUAAUCGGAGAUUCACUAUAC